GACGAACGCUGGCGGCGUGCUUAACACAUGCAAGUCGAACGCGCCUGUCCUCUGGGUUUCUGGGGGGUGGGUGAGUGGCGAACGGGUGAGUAACACGUGAGUAACCUGCCCCCUUCUUCGGGAUAACGGUCUGAAAGGGCUGCUAAUACCGGGUAUUCACUGGUCUCCGCAUGGGGUCUGGGGGAAAGGUUUUUUUCUGGUGGGGGCUGGGCUCGCGGCCUAUCAGCUUGUUGGUGGGGUGAUGGCCCAACAAGGCUUUGACGGGUAGCCGGCCUGAGAGGCUGCGCGGUCACAUUGGGAUUGGCAGAAGGCCGCGACUCCUACCGGAGGCAGAGGUGUGGAAUAGUGCGCAAUAGGCGCACGCCUGAUGCCCCGACGCCGCGUGAGGGAUGGGGGCCUUCGGGUUGUGAACCGGUUUCGCCCGUGGACCAGCCGCGACGUGAGUCGUGGUGAGGGUAGUGGGUAAAGAAGCGCCGGCUAACUCCGUG
rnacentral:rRNA from 1 species